UGGGGAAUAUUGGACAAUGGGCGAAAGCCUGAUCCAGCCAUGCCGCGUGUGUGAAGAAGGUCUUCGGAUUGUAAAGCACUUUAAGUUGGGAGGAAGGGCAUUAACCUAAUACGUUAGUGUCUUGACGUUACCGACAGAAUAAGCACCGGCUAACUCUGUGCCAGCAGCCGCGGUAAUACAGAGGGGGCAAGCGUUAAUCGGAAUUACUGGGCGUAAAGCGCGCGUAGGUGGUUUGUUAAGUUGAAUGUGAAAUCCCCGGGCUCAACCUGGGAACUGCAUCCAAAACUGGCAAGCUAGAGUAUGGUAGAGGGUAGUGGAAUUUCCUGUGUAGCGGUGAAAUGCGUAGAUAUAGGAAGGAACACCAGUGGCGAAGGCGACUACCUGGACUGAUACUGACACUGAGGUGCGAAAGCGUGGGGAGCAAACA
rnacentral:rRNA from 1 species